UACGAAGGGUGCAAGCGUUAAUCGGAAUUACUGGGCGUAAGGGGUGCGUAGGCGGUUCGUUAAGUCUGUCGUGAAAUCCCCGGGCUCAACCUGGGAAUGGCGAUGGAUACUGGCGAGCUAGAGUGUGUCAGAGGAUGGUGGAAUUCCCGGUGUAGCGGUGAAAUGCGUAGAGAUCGGGAGGAACAUCAGUGGCGAAGGCGGCAUCCUGGACCGGCAUUGACGCUGAGGAGCGAAAGCCAGGGGAGCAAACGGG
rnacentral:rRNA from 1 species